ensembl:lncRNA
CACAAACGGUGGCCGCGCACCGCCCCCCCCCCCCGCCCCCGGGGAGACUGGGGGGGGGAUCUGGACGCCUCGCUAAGGGGAGGGGAGAGAAAGGGGCGACGGGGGACACUUCCCCCUUCCCGGCAAGAAAGUUCGAGCAGGGAACGGGAGAACUCGCCGGUUUUCGACACUUUUUUCAAGGCGCCGGGACGGGGGUUGGGAGGUGUUGCUAACUCAAGUCAGAUGAGCUGCGGAGCUCAGGAGCUCUGACUGCUCUGUUUUCAAUCUCUGAAAUCCCCCCGCCCUCCCCACUCCUCCUUCCCUCCGCCCGGAGAUGCCCCGGUCGCUGUUCCCUGGGCGCCCGCUUCUCCAGGCGCCGGGGCGGAAGCCAGGAUCGAGAAGGAAGGGAGGCAGGGGCUCGGUCCACGCGGACCCUCUUCCUGCUGGCGGCGAACGCAGGUGCCAGGGGUCAUGCUGCGCCCCCCUUAGCGGCUCGCGCAAGUUGCCUGCGGAGCGCAUGUUGGCGAGAAACGAAGCAGCCUUCUGGGUUUGGUGCAUAUGUUUUCUAAGGAGGGUUUUUGUUUUGUUUUGUUUUUUUGGAGACUCCACUAGAGCGGCUGCAGCCAGAUGGAAGUAAUCAGAACCCAACAACGGAGAGAGGGUAGAAAAACCCUCGCUGAAUUUUCGGGCCAAAGUGUGGAUGGGACUAUGUGUCAAAAAACUUGCUUGAGCUAACUGGAGGAGUCCUGGGACCUCCAGCCACCCCACAGCCCAGAACUGGCCGCCCGACUUGGAGAAGGAGGAGGGCCGCUGGCUAGAGUGCCCUCCCAAGGCCUCCAAGGCUCCGGAAUCAUCCCAACAGUGCCUUGUAGUCUCUGCUCCCCCUGCACAGCUGAGAAGACUGAGGUUUAAGGAAAUGGAGGGACUUGUCCAAGACCAACUCAACUCCUGCUGGAAUCCAGACACUCACAGAACCUUUCCCGGAUUAUUUUGGCAAAAAAGAUGACUGUGGAGAAGAUGGAAUGUUUUCAGGACCAGCCCUCCCAGAAGUUGAGUUUCUUGAACAAAUGAAGAAGACAGAAUCAUUUCACAGCCACCAAAGAUUCCUGGAAAUAUCAAUGGUCUACAUCAAUCAUGACAUAAUGAGAGUCAAUAUUUCAAGACAAUUCUAAAUGAAAUUCCUGAAGACGUCUAAUUAAAAUGGGAUGGAGUUCUCAUAAGAUACAGACUGGUCUGCAGACUGAUCUUCAGGACAGUGUCACAAGGUUCAUUUGAAUCAAUCUCCUAAUGCUUGUCCAGCAUGCAUGAGGCCUUGGGUUCCAUACGCAGCACUGCACAACUAAUAAUAAUUAGUUGAUAAUAAAAAGGAUAAAUCAGCCACCUUUCUUAGGAGCUACCUAGGAGGCCAAUUCCCAGUACAUUUGCUUCUUGGGUCCCAUUCGCUCUGGGCAUUGUCUGCAACAGAAGGAAGAUAAGAUAACAUGAAAUCACUGGAGGACUGUCAUUAAAAACAAUUUACAUCUGAGUCUUCCACAAAUGUGUGCAGCCCAUUUCCUUCCUUUGGCACCUCCUCUGUUACCCAUGACAUUAUUAAUGUUUGAACUUGUCUGAAAUGUGUUUUGUGCCUGUGUACUUGAUGAGCCUCAUUUUGCCAGAAGUCAUUUGCAGAGAAGCAAGUCUCCACUGCCUUUGAAUAAACUGAAGAUGGAUAAGAACAGAGCAGAGGUCCUUUCCUGACAACCUCAUGGUAGACAGCCCAUGUGGGGGCAUUGGGUAGCAAGCCCCCUACCCCAAAUUAGAAUAGACAACAAAGGUUUCCAUGUAAGUGAGCAAAACCAGUUAGAAGAUAAAGUAGAAAAGAAGACCCCAAUUAUAAGACAAAGAAGCCAGGUGUGAUGAAGCACAGUAAUCCUAGUACUUAGGAGGCAGAGGCAGGAGGAUCACCACAAGCAAGUUCAAGGCCAGCCUUGACUACAUCGUGAGUUCAAGGCCAGCCUGAGCUACAUAGCAAGAUCCUGUUUCAAAAAACAAAACACAGCAAGCACAAGGACCAGAGUUCAAUCCCCGGUACCAAAAACACCCACACCCCCACACAAAGGCAAAAUAGGACAAAGAAAGUGAAAGUAGAGCUGGAGGCGUAGUCAGUGGUACAGCAAUUGCCUAGCAUGCAUGAAGUCUUGGGUUUCAUCCCCGGCACCUUAGAGAAAAGAAAUAGAGAAAAGGGGGAGUGAAAUCUAGAGCAUAGACUAUCUCAUCUUAACUGUUAAAACAAAUGCCAGAACCUAAAUGAGAAAAAUCAUAAGACUCUGGAAACAUGCAAAAGUAGAUUUGAACACCAAAAAGACAUGUAUUAUUAGACAGAAAUGCUCAACAUCAUUGAGUAGUUUGUUCUCCCCAGAUUAACAGACUCAUUAAUGCAAUCCAAAUAGAUUCAGUUAACAAUUACCAAGUUCAUUUAGAUGAAGAAAGACACACCAACAGCCAGCAAUCCUCCGCAGAAGUAACUGGGGACAGAGGAAUGGCCCACCCUU